rnacentral:rRNA from 1 species
AUGAACGCUGGCGGCGUGCCUAAUACAUGCAAGUCGAGCGAACGGACGAGAAGCUUGCUUCUCUGAUGUUAGCGGCGGACGGGUGAGUAACACGUGGAUAACCUACCUAUAAGACUGGGAUAACUUCGGGAAACCGGAGCUAAUACCGGAUAAUAUUUUGAACCGCAUGGUUCAAAAGUGAAAGACGGUCUUGCUGUCACUUAUAGAUGGAUCCGCGCUGCAUUAGCUAGUUGGUAAGGUAACGGCUUACCAAGGUAACGAUGCAUAGCCGACCUGAGAGGGUGAUCGGCCACACUGGAACUGAGACACGGUCCAGACUCCUACGGGAGGCAGCAGUAGGGAAUCUUCCGCAAUGGGCGAAAGCCUGACGGAGCAACGCCGCGUGAGUGAUGAAGGUCUUCGGAUCGUAAAACUCUGUUAUUAGGGAAGAACAUAUGUGUAAGUAACUGUGCACAUCUUGACGGUACCUAAUCAGAAAGCCACGGCUAACUACGUG